AUGGCAAUGAGACUGUGCAGGAAAAGAUUACUGCAGUUAGUAAAAUAACAAGCGAGGAACAGCGAAAAAACUUUUAAUAUUUUAUGAUAAAAGACCGAAGGUAUGGGUGCGACAAUUUCCAGCCACACCCAUGGAACUUCCGUCAGUGAACAUGGAAAGGGAAAGUUGGAGUUUACUCCUCAAAAUGAAGCACUGUUGAAUGAUAUUGUCAAACAGGUUGAGGCACUUGUCAGUUCACAUCCUCGAGAGGCAGAAACCAUACUUAAGGAACCUUUCAAAUGGCAUAGCACUCUUAAACCAGACAGCUUUGGAGAAUUGAAUUUUGGAUCUAUGGGAUUUCAGAUAACUCACAGUGAUGUUAAAUCAGAGGCGAAAACACCAAACGGCGAG